GAUGAACGCUGGCGGCGUGCCUAAUACAUGCAAGUCGAGCGAACGGACGAGAAGCUUGCUUCUCUGAUGUUAGCGGCGGACGGGUGAGUAACACGUGGAUAACCUACCUAUAAGACUGGGAUAACUUCGGGAAACCGGAGCUAAUACCGGAUAAUAUUUUGAACCGCAUGGUUCAAAAGUGAAAGACGGUCUUGCUGUCACUUAUAGAUGGAUCCGCGCUGCAUUAGCUAGUUGGUAAGGUAACGGCUUACCAAGGCAACGAUGCAUAGCCGACCUGAGAGGGAGGUCGGCCACACUGGAAGAGAGACACGGUCCAGACACCUACGGGAGGCAGCAGUAGGGAAUCUUCCGCAAUGGGCGAAAGCCUGACGGAGCAACGCCGCGUGAGUGAUGAAGGUCUUCGGAUCGUAAAACUCUGUUAUUAGGGAAGAACAUAUGUGUAAGUAACUGUGCACAUCUUGACGGUACCUAAUCAGAAAGCCACGGCUAACUACGUG
rnacentral:rRNA from 1 species